rnacentral:rRNA from 1 species
UACGUAGGCAGCAAGCGUUGUUCGGAAUUACUGGGCGUAAAGGGUGCGUAGGCGGCUUUUUAAGUUUGGUGUGAAAUCUCCCGGCUCAACUGGGAGGGUGCGCCGAAUACUGAGAGGCUAGAGUGCGGGAGAGGAAAGUGGAAUUCCUGGUGUAGCGGUGAAAUGCGUAGAUAUCAGGAGGAACACCGGUGGUGUAAACGGCUUUCUGGACCGUAACUGACGCUGAUGCACGAAAGCGUGGGUAGCAAACAGG